rnacentral:rRNA from 1 species
UGAAACCUGGCGGCGUGCUUACACAUGCAGUCGAACGGAGAUAUACGCUGAUUGAAGCUUCGGCAGAUUUCUUGUAUAUCUUAGUGGCGGACGGGUGAGUAACGCGUGGGUAACCUGCCUUAUACCGGGGGAUAACACUUAGAAAUAGGUGCUAAUACCGCAUAAGCGCACAGCUUCGCAUGAAGCAGUGUGAAAAACUCCGGUGGUAUAAGAUGGACCCGCGUCUGAUUAGCCAGUUGGUGAGGUAACGGCUCACCAAAGCAACGAUCAGUAGCCGGCCUGAGAGGGUGAACGGCCACAUUGGGACUGAGACACGGCCCAAACUCCUACGGGAGGCAGCAGUGGGGAAUAUUGGACAAUGGGGGAAACCCUGAUCCAGCGACGCCGCGUGAGUGAAGAAGUAUUUCGGUAUGUAAAGCUCUAUCAGCAGGGAAGAUAAUGACGGUACCUGACUAAGAAGCCCCGGCUAACUACGUGCCAGCAGCCGCGGUAAU